AUGGUUGAGUAGAGCGAGGAGAUCGAGAGGGGAAAUAGUCACUUGAUUUUUGCGGAUUAUGUUGAGCAUGGAGAUUGAUCUUAACGUUUUGGUUGUCCGCAGAUUCAAUGAUGACAACACGCACACCUUUCCCUGAUGCUUGGGCAAAGGCAUGUAUGUCCGAUGUGCAGGCAAAACUUUAUAGAUGCAGAUUACAUACAUUAGAAAUUGCCAACUCGAUGGAUGAUAAAUACUAUGACUUGGGACUCAGAAAAAAGAUCAACACGUAGGUAUGGGAGUUCGGAAUAUCCAACAUUCCCUAGCUACUCCCUAAUUGCUUUACGCACUACCUGCAAUUGCAAGCUCAAUGUGCUUACAUUUCGAUUAGCUAAAUCUCUUUGUUGGCAAUAGUUAAUAGGUUAGGUGAAGUUUAGAACAAUAUGUCAAUAUGGUAAAGCUUUAUUUUAUUUAGGCUAGCAGCCUGCUAUAUAAAUUAUAAGGUGUGUAAAAAAUCUCAGUUAGCUGUGCGUGGCUUCCUUUGAUCGGAUCGUCGCUUGAGUAGACGAUUCGCCGUACACCAAGCUACUAUAGGCUUAUCACAGUUUGGCCAAGACGAAACUCUCACAUAUGAGAUAGCUACUAGAUCAAUAGUUCAAUUGUUUGCCUCAGGCCAUAACCUUGAUAACGAUAAUUUUUUCUUGUACUUACAGAUGCAGAUUACAUAGAUCAGGACUUGCUAACUCGGCGUAUGACACAUACUAAACGACAUCAACACGUAGGUAUGAG
rnacentral:lncRNA from 1 species